UACGUAGGGGGCGAGCGUUGUCCGGAAUCACUGGGCGUAAAGCGCACGUAGGCGGCUUGUUAAGAUGGGCGUGAAAUCCCCGGGCUCACCUCGGGGGGGUCGUCCGUGACUGGCAGGCUGGGGUCUGGGAGAGGCGAGUGGAAUUCCCGGUGGAGCGGUGAAAUGCGUAGAGAUCGGGAGGAACACCAGUGGCGUAGGCGACUCGCUGGGCCAGUACCGACGAUGAGGUGCGAAAGCGUGGGGAGCGAACCGG
rnacentral:rRNA from 1 species